GACGAACGCUGGCGGCGUGCUUAACACAUGCAAGUCGAGCGGAGCGGCGAACGGGUGAGUAACGCGUGAGUAACUGCCCCCCUCUCUGGGAUAAAAGUUGGAAACGGCUGCUACUACCGGAUAGUGGGGGAUGACUCGCGUCCUAUCAGCUUGUUGGUGGGGUAGUGGCCUACCAAGGCGACGACGGGUAGCCGACCUGAGAGGGCGACCGGCCACAUGGGUCUUGGAUACGGCCCAAACUCCUACUGUAGGCAGCAGUGGGUAAUAUUGCACAAUGGGGGAAACCCUGAUGCAGCAACGCGCGGGCGGGAUGACGGCCUUCGGGUUGUAAACCGCUUUCAGCCAGGACGCGGUAGUCGCAGAAGAAGCACCGGCUAACUACGUGCCAGCAGCCGCGGUAAUAC
rnacentral:rRNA from 1 species